UACGGAGGGUGCAAGCGUUAUCCGGAUUCACUGGGUUUAAAGGGUGCGUAGGUGGGCAGGUAAGUCCGUGGUGAAAUCCCCGAGCUUAACUCGGGAACUGCCAUGGAUACUAUUUGUCUUGAAUACUGUGGAGGUGAGCGGAAUAUGUCAUGUAGCGGUGAAAUGCUUAGAUAUGACAUAGAACACCAAUUGCGAAGGCAGCUCGCUACACAGUCAUUGACACUGAGGCACGAAAGCGUGGGGAUCAAACAGG
rnacentral:rRNA from 1 species